rnacentral:rRNA from 1 species
AGGACGAACGCUGGCGGCGUGCUUAACACAUGCAAGUCGAGCGGAAAGGCCCUUCGGGGUACUCGAGCGGCGAACGGGUGAGUAACACGUGAGCAAUCUGCCCUUAGCUCCGGGAUAGCUCCGGGAAACCGGAAUUAAUACCGGAUACGACCACAGCCGACAUCUGCUGUGGUGGAAAGGAUUCCGGCUAAGGAUGGGCUCGCGGCCUAUCAGCUAGUUGGUGGAGUAACGGCCCACCAAGGCGACGACGGGU